ACUGGAGGAUUUCUGCAAAGAGCAGCUCAAGAAGAUCUCAGACAGAGUCCCAUUCACCAACAUUGAUCUCUGGACCAGGAACGACUUCCUACAAUGUAAGUCAGUAAGAAAACCAGCAGAAAAACUC